rnacentral:rRNA from 1 species
AACGAACGCUGGCGGCAUGCCUAACACAUGCCAGUCGAACGAGACCUUCGGGUCGAGUGGCGCACGGGUGCGUAACGCGUGGGAACCUGCCCUUAGGUUCGGAAUAACUCCCCGAAAGGGGUGCUAAUACCGGAUAAUGUCUUCGGACCAAAGAUUUAUCGCCUUUGGAUGGGCCCGCGUUGGAUUAGCUAGUUGGUAGGGUAAAAGCCUACCAAGGCGACGAUCCAUAGCUGGUCUGAGAGGAUGAUCAGCCACACUGGGACUGGGACACGGCCCAGACUCCUACGAGAGGCGGGAGUUGGGAAUCUAGGACCAUGGGCGAAAGCCUGAUCCAGCGAGGCCGGGUGAGUGAUGAACGCCUUGUAGUUGUCAAGCUCUUUUACCCGGGAUGGUAAUGACAGUACCGGCAGAAUAAGCACCGGCUAACUACGUG